rnacentral:rRNA from 1 species
UCCGUAGGGUGCGAGCGUUACUCGGAAUUACUGGGCGUAAAGCGUGCGCAGGCGGUUCGACAAGUCCGAUGUGAAAGCCCCGGGCUCAACCUGGGAAUGGCAUUGGAAACUGGCGAGCUUGAGUGUGGCAGAGGGGGGUGGAAUUCCGCGUGUAGCAGUGAAAUGCGUAGAGAUGCGGAGGAACACCGAUGGCGAAGGCAGCCCCCUGGGCUGACACUGACGCUCAGGCACGAAAGCGUGGGGAGCAAACAGG